rnacentral:antisense_RNA from 1 species
UUUUCGGACUCAGCCUGCCUGCACCAAGGGCUGAGGGAGCGUAUCCAAGGAAGGGCCAACUUGGAAGGGGUUCAGCCAAUCAGAUAGCAGCUCAGGAGUAUCUAACCUGCGAAGAUCUUAAUUAAGGCUUUGGCUUUCGACUUAAAAGUCUCCAUAAAGGAACGCUACGCAUCAUCCUGAAAAUAAAGAUCAAAGUCCACAGCCAGUGGUGAAGAAACAUUAAUAAGAGAAUCAGUCAGCCUAGUUUUUUUGAGGAAAUCUGUGCACAGAUCCCAAGUCUACACAUAAACCAAAAAGCCAAAGUAAAGUUAACUGUAUUUGAGCAGUGUGGGCAGCCCAGCCAGCCACAGUAACUGAAGCUGGAAGAAUUACUCCCUACACACAGGGCUCGUGUUCUCUAGAUCAACCAGACACAUCACAGACUCUGUUGUUGAGGUUCUUUCAUUUCCUCAGGCCAGUUAGCCCUUGGCAAGUAGCCAGAGCUGUACAUUAACUGCCCCUACAUUUUUAAAAUCAUUGCUUAUGAAUUUCUAUGUAUUAACUUAGAGAAAUGUAAUUCUAGUUCCCAUCUUAGAGGAAUGGUCUCUUCUUAAUGUCUUUGUGUUCUAAAUAUUUGAUCAUGUCAACAAAAAA